CCAGACGUGAAAUCGCCUCUUUCUGCAGCUGCACAAUCGCCUGCGAGCUUGGAUCAGUCAAACGGCUCCCCUCGAGCCCUAGCAGGAGCUCUGGCGUCCCUUCAGACUGCACCUAACCCUGCUGGGAGGCUGGUAUCGAAGGGGACGGUCCCAUGUAACCCCCUGCUAUACUGUGACAUCACAAGCAGCUCCCGGGGACGCAGCGGAGCCCUGUCCCUGUCCCAGCCCUGUCCCUAUGAUGCCAGCAGCAGCACCCCGUGCCGUGGCGGUGCCCAUCCAUAAAACACCUUUGCUGAAGCCUGUCUCACGCUGAUGCCACCCAAAUGCUCGGUGGGGCUCUUGCCAGCCCUGUCCCACAGUCCCAGCACCACAGAGCUCAGCUGCUCGCAGCAGCGCCGAGCGCAGCGCUGGAGGAAACGCUCCCUCGUGACGACCGCUCUCGCAGAUGCAGCUCUUCCACACAGCCGAACGCAAAGCCCCCCUGUGCCUUCCCAAGGUAAACCACCAGCCCCAGACGCACACCAUGGUUUAAUUAACACUAUCGCUGGAAGCUUAACUUCUGCCGUUUGAAUGCUUCAAGAUGAACACUGCAUGAACGUAUUUGGGUUUCACCUUAAUACCACCUCUUUUUUCUUUUCUUUAAAGUAACACUGGAGGCUUUGGACAUCCCCACCGAGACGAUCCCCCCUCUGAAGGGCUAUUCCCAUUUUCCCAAGGACAAUUCUCCUCAAGCCGCCGUUAGCGAGGCUGCAGCAAUUCUACUGCCGCCCGCACUUUUGCAAAACAAAGAUUUGAGAUCACAGCCCCUGUUGAUUUAUAUACCCAAUUUCUGGUGGGAUCAACAUCCUCUAUGCAUCUCAGAAAGCCCUGAAGAGACACACAACCACUUGGUCCCUAGCAAACUCAUUUCUCCAUUGACCACAUCCUCCGAGUAUUGUUGUGUCCCACAAUCCUGUCCCUCCAGUGCCCGGGGGCUGUAAAACCGGAUUCCAGAUGCUGGACCCUCUCCCUGCCCGGGCACUUCGUGUGCAGCCGCAUUGUGCUCGGCCCGCUCGGGACAGCGUCCCCGGCUGGGGUGGGUUUACAGCAACCGGCAAUAAAAAGGCCAAAGGAGGCGAGGGAUGGCUCGCUCGACAAGGACACAGGGCGCUUCAUGACUUUCCUGUCCGCUGGGUAUUUCGGAGCCAAAGAUUAAGGGAGAAUUUCAAAGCUGGAAGAAUUAAUACAAACAGUUAACCCAGAUAUUUCCCCCCUGGUUCAGUUUAACGUGGCACGAAAACCCCAGGCCAGAACACGGUUAUAUUUCAACUCCAGAUUGGGCAGAGCAAUUAUUUUGUCACUGAGCAUGUUAGGAAAGAAAAGGCAGAAGGAGGCGAGUUUUAGCCUCUUUGGUAAUGUACAAAUUAACACACUUCAGCACCAUUUUCAGAAAUAUAAAUUUAUGAUUUAAUUCUGCCACAUGUAUCCUUGGAAACCAAGCUGUAAGCAGUCGCCCUUGGAUAUUUCACACAAUUCCAUAUUUUUUUUUUUUUCAAUAUUCAAACACAACUAAUUGCUUGGCCUUCUGGAGUGAUGGACAGCUUGGGCGAGCAGGCUGCCCAGGGGCUUAUUUUACCACCAGCCUGGUACAAUAUUGCUACAUGGGCUGACAGCAGCUGCUCUAAUCUCCUGAUAGGUACGAACGAGCAUUGAUGAAGUUCAGUCUGUUUGAACAGCUGCAUAUGCAAAUGUAAUUAAGAAAACGUCUACUGCCUUUUGCUGCCCUCCCCAUGCCCCCCUCCUCUCCCUCUCUGGCACAUUAGGUGCUUCCUCUCAGCGAGGGGGGCAUUCCAAGUGGUUGCCACUCCAUAGCUUCAGCCUUGAACAUACGCCUCACUUACGUGUCACGACUGAGUCCCAGAAAUGCCACUCUCCAGCUCCCUCUACCAUCAUUUACGGUGUCUUUAAGUACGGGGCUCAGAAACAAAACAGCUGAUUAUUUUCAGCCUCACACGGGUCCGAGCAUCGACACGACGCUGCCAUAUGAAGUGCAACCCCUUUUUCAGUAUAUCAAAGUAAAAUCAUUUUCCUCUACCUCAUCUCCCACUGACCAGUUGGUGAUUGCCCCCCAUCCCUUAUUUGCCCCGUACUUGCUGUGCAGCCUCAGGGGAGCAUUUCUUGCACUCUGUCUGCGGCCGCUGCUCAGGGAGAUGCUCUGGGAACCACCACGGCCAGAAACAGGCACAAGGGAGGAGACCACGGCUGUGCAGAGACCCAGGCACGCCUGGAGCAAGCGACUGCUGCUUGAUUUGUGAAUCCAGUGCGUGGUGGGAGGACAGAAAAGACUGCAACAGUUCUGCAGGGUCUCAGCAUCACAGGGCAAACCUUCAUUACACAAAACAAGCAGGCAGAUGAAGCCAGGAGGACUGAUGCCCACAGAGCUCCGGGUCGUUCCAUUUAAACCCAGCAUUUUAAAAACGUACCUGGGACACAUAUCCCCAAACUGGAGCAGCAGAGAAAGGUGCUGGUUCCUGCUGUGACACCAAACUGCGGCUGCCUGUCCAGCAGCAGGGCAGCAUCUGCAUUUGUGUACCACAGCAGGGAAAAAGUGGAGUGAGCAGCUACAAACCUUUCCCAUUAACCUCAGCAGGAUGAAGGCUCCAGAGCAAGCUGAAGAAAGACUAAUUAGAGCAAGAAACUAAACGGUAAACAGGGCAGAAAACAAUGGGAAUUUUCUGAAGGGAAAUCAGAUCAAACAGAGCUAAUCAGGUUAGCCCGGUAAGAUAAUGAAUUUCCUAGACAAAGGAAGUGUGAUAGAUCCCAUCCAUGCAGACUUCAGCAAAGCAUAUAAUGCAGUGCCAUGUGGGAAAUUAUUAAAUGAAAAAGAUGGGGAUUAGCAGAACUGUAAGGCCAGAAAACUGGUGAAAGGUGAAGCCGUGUUGAAAGAGUGAUCAGAACGGAUGGAGGUCACCGGUGGAGCUCCUCAAGGAACGGUCAGGAGACUGAUCUUAUUAAAUAUUUUUAUUAAUGACCUUGGCACAAAAAGUAAGUGUGCUAAUGAAAUCUGCUGAUGACACAAAGUUGGAAAGUACCAUCAGCACAGAGGCAAGCUGGGACAGCAUAUAGAAAAAAUAGGUAACUUUGAAGACUAAUAGAGAAGGUUGAAAUUAAUAGGACAAAAGGGGAAGCCACAAACAUGGGACAAGCAAUAGUUUUUGCUAUGAGUUGGAAAGAAAAUGAACUCAGGUAGAAAAUUCCCAAGAAUGAGAAAGGCCCAGGCAAACACCUUACAACAAACUGACCGAGGCACCAACGUGCUGCAGCUGCGAAAUGCCUCCAGCAGCUGGGGAAGUACAAGUGCCGCAGGGCACGGCACGGUGACAGCGCACCGAGACGACGGCAGUCAAGACUUGUGUAAAAAAAAAAAGGAAAAAAGAGUUUAAAUAGGAAGAAGUGCAAAAAAAAAGGGGGCUUGUCAGAUCAGAGGGAUUAUUUUAGUAGAGUAAAAUGUAACGAUGCUUGUUCAGUGCCACAAAACAAAAGCUGGGAGGGAACAGUGAUCUCCUAGACGCACGUUUGGGGGUGUAAAAUAAAAAAGGGGGAAGAACCAUUCAAGACACCAGAACAAGGGUUGCACAAGGACAAAAUGAAGUAUCCUUGACAAGUUUAGGAUGGAGAUAAGUUUAUGACCAUUACAACUUUCCAAUGGGAGUAAUGGGGGGGAAAAAACAAGCUUGUUCUCGGAAAUUUAUCUUGAAGCGAUCCCAUGACCCAGAAGGCUCCUCCCGUCCUUUACUGCUCAAUGAGCAGCGUUACACCACCAGUGACUGCUGAGCUCCUCACCUGGAAAGCAGCACGCAAAGCAGCUCCAAGGCACGUUUUUCUUUCUAAAGCUGUUUAUGAAUGAUUAGGUCCAGCAUCUUUGACUGCCUGAAUCCACUGCAACAUCUCAACAUGAGCAAUUUUAAGCCAAAUGCUGAAGUUAAUAACACAAAACAUAUGAGGAAAUGGCACGGAGAGACCAGGAAGAAGCCGGGGGGCAGAAGCAGCACCCAAGGGAGCGAGGCCAGGGUGCUGGGCACACUGCCACCAGCAAAGGCAGCGUCUCGGCACGAUGACUGACCUUUCUUCCCAGCAUACUUCCUGAACCAGAAAGCCCCGUGCGAUCUGCUGUGCUCACACCGCCGGUGUCACACGCGCUCCUCACCUGCUGCUCAGGGACUCGGAGCUACUGAAGUGGGGAAAAGCAGUUAGUAUUUUGGGAAAACAAGAUGGUAAGAUAACAAACAGAAGGCUUUGAUUAGCAAAGUACUGAAACCGCUGGACCCGUUAAAAAGCUGCUCUAUUAACAUAAUUAAUGAGCCCCAUUUCCUGCUAUGUCCCCAAGCUAAGCUGCUUUGAGGUUUCCCUGGUGUCUAAUGAGACUCGAGCUCACCCUGCGUUCUCCCCCUCAAUGGGACCCUUAAUUGGGUCUCUCCGCUAAUGAGGAUAGAUGGCCAAGUGAACUUGUAGGAACUUCUUAUCUUUGUGACCUCUCCCUCCUGCUAAUUCCAGCCUCAAUUAGCCGCCGGGUUCAGAAGUCAGUGGGGCAAGGCGAAGGGAAGAGCGCGGCGGCACACACACCAUGCGGCUGCAAAGCCCCCGGCUCCUCCCGAGAGCGGGCUGCUCGCCCUUCCCCAGCUUUCUGCUGGGCUGCGUGCUCACGCCGAGCAAAAACGGGUGCGAGAGGGGAAGGAAACACCUCGGGCACGCAGGCAGCAGCCCGGGAGGACAGGCACCCGGCGCGCUCGGGCACCGCGGCCAGAGCCCGGUCCAAGCAACAGCUUCUUUCUUCCGCAGCGCUUUCGCCUCCGUGUUUUCUCAGUGGUAACAGGACAAACUUUUCAACACACAAUUGCUUAAUAUGGAAGAAACCGAAGAAGGAAGAAACUGAAGAAAGGGGGAAAAAAAAAUAAACCAGGAAAAAAACCCAGCUUGCCAAGGCAAGAAGGCGUCCGGCGCAAGCCCGGGCAGGUGACUCAGAACCGGUGCAGCCGCCGGAGCAGCGCCGGGAGGAAUAUCGGCGUAACUGCUCCCAGAAUCAGAUUGCAGGAAAGGUUGAUUUAAUGUCACACUACACCGACUUCUCCAGUCCACUAAGAAAAAAAAAAAAAAAGAUGGGGACUUGCUCAUCUAAACACACAACGCACGUCAGAGGAACAAACGCGAGUAACUGCCAUCCAUAAUUUAUAAAGCAAAUUAAGUCCAUGGCACAAAUAACUCUAAAUUAGAACAGAGUGAACAGAAUCUGGCAGGGAACGGCCCCAGCCUGCAUGAAUCAUUAUUUUUCUAGAGGAAACCUUGUAUAAUCCAAGCUACCCUGUUUUAAAACAAACGAGACCUUCUGAAAACUCCGACUCGUUUCACCCGGGUAUUUUGGUGAUUUGCUGAGACAAAAACCGCCCCUACCCGCUAUGACCGCCCUCGCGGCUGUCUCAGUCCUGCUUUCAGCAUCCUCAAGAGCCUGGGUCGGAAGGCGACGGGGAGGUCAGAGCACCUACCUGGGUCUGAGGAGGCGAUUAGAUUGCAAUGCCAUCUUGUGGAAUAGGAGAAAACGAAAGACCGAAACCAACUGCUCAGCCGCCACUUCGCGACUGUGUAUUAUUUUACAGGACAGGACGCUGGUGAGGGCCCAGCAGGACACCCUCAGUGGCUGCUUCUCAUUUUCCCCAUUCGUCUAAAAUAUUAAAGGGAUAUGCAGCAGCAGCUGCAAAGGCGUGCUCUGCUCCCCUCACGCUGCCAGAAACAAGAGUUCUUGCUUCUUUUUGCUUGUUUCCAGCCUUCCCCACGACGAAGCCCCAGCGCCCCGCGCCGCCUGCCCAGGGGAGCAGCCCUGCCCCAGGCUGCGGCCGCCCGCCAGCAGCCCGCGGCCAAGGGUAGGGCCUGGAGCCAGAGCACACCGGGCCCCCGCCCCGGCGCCUGGCACGGGCUGGCAGCACCCGAGGGACGUUUCUGGGCCCUCGGCACGUACUCGAGUGACACCGUGCCACCUAACGGAACAAGUCCGGGCCACAUCCAAAGGCGGUGAUGGCUCCACGCGCAGGAGCUCUGCUGCGCCAGGCUCCGCGUGCUGCUUCUGCUGCCCGCGCUCCCAGCUGCGGGCCCUGCUACCAACAUCUCCCUGCCUCGUUCAGAGGCAAACGCUCAGGGCACAGGAUGCUGUAAUCACAAACAGAGCCUCUUACAGCCAUCCCCUCUGCAGGGAGCUGCCUAUCUGCAAGUCCUGAAGUACCAAAAAUAGCUCAGAUCGAUGGGAUGGGGGAAAGCUACCCCAAAGCACCAGCCAGGCCCCCUGCAGCCCACCGGCAGGGAGGAAGACUGGCGGAGUGGUGCAGACCCCGCAAGCACUACCAACGCUUGCAUCGUGCUUAACCGCUGGAGUCUGGGGACCAUGAGCAGAGGGGAAAGGCUGGAGCCGGCUGGCUCUGAGCCCCACGUCCACCUGGGCACCAAACCUGCAGCACCCGUGCCAAGGAUGCCAGCGUAGGAGCCACCCAGGCCAGGGAGGCUCAAAAACCAGACGGGAUCCGUGCUGUGCAACCCAAGCCACGGGCUGCAGAAAGCAGAUGACAGCACGCUUUAGGGAAGUCAUUUUCCUCCCAACGUUUUUUUUUUAUCCUAGGAAGCAGAAUGGGUGAGAUCACAGUGAGGCUCUCUCUACCCAGGAAAAACAAAUUACUGAAGCAUUCAGGAGUGUUGCAUCAUUAAGGGUGAUUAUUCCACUAUUCAUGCCAGAGGGCUCUGCCGGUACCCGCGUCCAGAUGCUGCAGCACAUCCACCGUCAGGCGAACACCGAGGCGUUCGUCGGGGCUUCAGCUCGGGCAGCGGCGCAGGCACCGCGUCCAGGCAGGCACCACCACGACCGCGAGGGACAGGGACAGGAGGGGGACACGGGGGGACACGGAGCACCCUACGCUGCUUCACACCCCUGGUUAUCGAAGGUGUGAUCAAUUUAAACAAAAUGUUAGAGCGGGGGAAAAAAGCCAGUUUUUCUGCUGCUUGGCUUUGUUCAGGGAAUAACCGUACAUACAGGAGGGUUUUCUGGUCUUCAUAUACCAGCGAUUUUCAGUGCCAGGAGUAAGGGUGGAAAAGGGAUGGGAAGAAUGCCGUUAAAGCCUGUCUCUUCCAGCAUUAUUGUUCUAAAACUCAUGAUUAGGCAGAGUAAAAUAGCUAUCUGAGGCAAUACAGUGUUUACAUAUACCCAAAUUGUUAUGCAAACACAGGAAGACCUAUUGGAGCAGACGGAAUAAGGCACGAAGAGGCAGCGCUUCUCACCACCCCUUAAAGAAAAAUGUUUUUCAAUGUGGAAAGGGUGAGAGAGGUCACCCCCAAGGCAUCCAGCCUGGGAUCCUCCCAGCCUUCGCCUCUCCCAUCCUCCUCCUCCUCUCAAAUUCCCCAGCACAGCCAGCUCGGCUUUAGAGUUAAAGAGACAGGCUCAUUAUCUAGCAGCAUUGUCUGGGUUCUGCAUUUGCAUUAAGAAGCUAGAAGGGGGGAGAAAUACCUAACAAGCGAGAAGCUGUUCCCCGCAGACAACCUCUUGUCCGCCAUCGGUUUCAGUGCCGGCCCCGCGCGGGCAUUUUGCUUCUCGCACCCGGUGCUUGUGUGGAAAGCGAAGCCACAGAAAUUGAGGGUCUGCACAGGGGUACUCGACACAAUUCGAGUGCGAUUAUUUGUAAAUUAAAUCGAGCUUUUGUCAGCGUUAAAGACCUAAAAUCAUCAGUCACGAACGCUGCAGCCACUUCUUUAAUUCUGCCUGUAGUUGGUGUAUGAGAAAUCAGAGACAAAUGCCUCUGACAAGUCCGCUAUAAGAAAAGGCCACAGAUUUUCAUCAAUUUGCAUCAGACUUUCAAAAAAUUACCACUUAUGGGGAACCAAAUAAAUCCCUCAAAUAUCUCCCAGUGCUUGACAAACAGCUCACUGCUGGGGGCUUUCGCUGCCAGCCCCGAGAUCGCCCUGCCAGGGACUACAAGCUCCCACCAGCCCCCUUUGCUUCACCCAGAAUCGGGAAGCUCUCGUCCUCCUCUUCACUGCACUGCGUAAGCCAAAAUUCUCUCACUUCUGACUACGAGUCAAACUUCUACAGAGCAUAAAUUACUCUAGUAAUGAGCCCUCUCGUUUGCCAGAAAAGAACCAUGGACACCGGAGGGGGACGUGGUAUUUCCAGAACUGUCUCACUAACACCAUCUCGCACUGACAUCCUCCCACAGCCACUCCUCAGCACCACUCAUCCCUCCGAGACAAACAUAAAUCUCCUGCCAUCGCCCGCGGCAUCCUCCCCGCACCAAAAGCUCCGCAUCCCCUACACAAAACCUGGCGCGAGAGGUACAGCCUUGCCUUGGCUAAAGCGAAAGCAGCCUAGCGCAGCUUCGCUAGCUCAGCGUCACCAGCGAGGAUUUCAUGUCUGGCAGGCUCUGAAAACCACUUGGUUGGGAACGCAUUCCUGCAGGACACCGCCAGAAAUGCCCCUGCGGCACCACUCCCCAUUGUGACCGUUUCUUGAGAGCUGGUAGCUAGCAAGUUUUUUAAACCUAAUUAACAUGUACCACAUUAAUUUCAUACAGCUCUACAAUUUCCAAUCAGGGUAUUGUGCAAUACUGGAGUCAAAUGGCUUAAGGACAUUCACUGGCUUAAGGAGGUUAACACAGCAAGCGCAGUAAGUUAAGCCUGAAACAUCGCUGAAGUACAUUUGGGGUCGGAGAGAUGGGUUUUGCCUCUUUAGCAGCAAUCUUUGCUGGGGGGAGGCACAGUGCGCACAGCCUCGGAGCACUCAGCGAGUUUCUAGGCAUUUAAUAACAGCACAGGAUUUGGACUCAU